GAAGAAUGGAAACUGCAACAACAAAAUCCUAAUUCUAAUAGAAUACUAACUAAAUUCUAAUUAGACCAUAAUAAUUCUAAGCAAGCUUUUAUCAAAUUCAAAGAAACCUCAAAGAAAUUUCAAAGAAACAAUAAGAAAUCUUAAAGAAAUAUUAGAAUGAUCACAAAUAUAUCUCAAAUAUAUCUCAAUUCAAUCUUAAUUUAAUCCUAAUUAAAAUCCUAUUGCACUUCAUUCAAACUUUAGGCCAAAACUAAUUAAAUUUUAAAUCUUCAAUAAAUCUUAAUAAAAUCCUAAACCCUAAAUCAAAUCCUAAAUCCUAAAUCAAAUCCUAAUCAAAUCCUAAAUCCUAAACCAAAUCCUAAAUAAACCUUAAAUCAAAUCCCAACCAAAUCCUAAAUCAAACCCUAAACCCUAAACCAAAUCCUAACCAAAUCCUAAAUCCUAAACCAAAUCCUAAUCAAAUCCUAAACCAAACUCUAAAUCCUAAAUCAAAUCCUAACCAAACUUUAAAUCCUAAAUCAAAUCCUAAACCUAAACCAAAUCCUAAUCAAACCCUAAAUCCUAAAUCAAAUCCAAACCAAAUCCUAAAUCCUAAACAAACCUUAAACCAAAUCCUAAUAAAAUCCUAAACCAAAUCCUAAAUCCUAAAUCAAACCCUAACCAAACUUUAAUCCUAAAUCAAAUCCUAAUC
rnacentral:lncRNA from 1 species